GAGAUUUUUUGUAUUUUUUGCCUCAAAUUUAUUCAUUAGGAAUUGCUAUUAAAGGGCUGUUUAAUAUUUUAUGUUUCAUUGGUUCACAAUAAAUAUGACCUUAGGAAUGCCAUUAGUUGAUUCCUCUUUAAGGAUUGGAAUUUGGCCCAACACUUUACACACAUUAAUUUUCAACUCAGUAUGAUUGCAUUGUCAUUGUUGAAGGGGUGAUUUGGAUUGGGAACUACAGGGCUUGAUGUUACAGGGGAAAAAAGUUUAUGUUAUCAAAAUAGGGUUUAUAUGUUUGAAGUAAAGAAACAAUACCUAAAUUGAUGUGCAAAAACAUAUAUAGGACAUGCUGGAAGUCAUGCAAAUAAUCAAGAGAAGAAAAACUUGGAGAGAGAGAGAGAGAGAGCAAUAGGAAUGCAUUUUUAAACAGUUACAAAAAUU
rnacentral:misc_RNA from 1 species